GUGAAUCAAGGGUUCAGUCCUGAAUGGUCAGGAAGGUCAUUAUGGCAAAAAGAAAGACAGAGAGAAAAGGAAGGUAGGUUCAUCUUUCUGAAGGGCUUGGAUACAGAAGGAAAGAGGAGAUGAAUCCAUGGAUGUUCAUCAGUUAUACCAUGUUUGCAGCAAUUACAAAACAUAUUUUUUCGGAAAUGUUGGGCGGACCUGUUGGCACCUGAGUGGAGGUGGAGAUGCUGGAGUUCGAGGGAAAGUCUCUGAUGCAUUGCAUCUCCACUGUCUGUGUUUUGAGCUCUCUGGCUUUAUUAAGAAUCUGUUUUUAUGGGAAAAACCUUCCCUGAUAUGUCCACCUUAACAGGCACCCUUAAAUGAGAAGACUCCAAACCUCUUGGACACAAUGGAAUACAUUCGUUGAUUGGUAUGCAGAAGCUUCUAGAAGAUAAAAUGAUUUAAAAAAAAACAGCUCUAAAAGGAUCCUUACAGCACAUAAAUAAAAAAAUCUUUAAUGAAAAACUUUGGCCAUCUGAUGAGGUAAGUUAAUGUAUUGCCAGAAAAACAAUUUGGAUCUAACUAUAACAUUGAAUUUUGUA